GGGCGUUUAGCUCAGCUGGUUUAGAGCAUCUGCCUUACAAGCAGAGGGUCGGCGGUUCGAAUCCGUCAACGCCCACUA
rnacentral:tRNA from 16 species